AUUGAACGCUGGCGGCAGGCCUAACACAUGCAAGUCGAACGAGUGGCGGACGGGUGAGUAAUGUCUGGGAAACUGCCCGAUGGAGGGGGAUAACUACUGGAAACGGUAGCUAAUACCGCAUACCAUCGGAUGUGCCCAGAUGGGAUUAGCUUGUAGGUGAGGUAACGGCUCACCUAGGCGACGAUCCCUAGCUGGUCUGAGAGGAUGACCAGCCACACUGGAACUGAGCAAAGGUCCAGACUCCUACGGGAGGCAGCAGUGGGGAAUUUUGGACAAUGGGGGCAAGCCUGAUGCAGCCAUGCCGCGUGUAGGAAGAAGGCCUUCGGGUUUUAAAGUACUUUCAGCAGGGAGGCGUGACCCGCAGAAGAAGCACCGGCUAACUCCGUGCCAGCAGCCGCGGUAAUAC
rnacentral:rRNA from 1 species